rnacentral:rRNA from 1 species
CCUACGGGUGGCAGCAGUGAGGAAUAUUGGUCAAUGGGCGUAAGCCUGAACCAGCCAAGUCGCGUGAGGGACGACGGCCCUACGGGUUGUAAACCUCUUUUGCCGGGGGGCAAACGGCGGCACGCGUGCCGUCCUGAGGGUACCCGGAGAAAAAGCAUCGGCUAACUCCGUGCCAGCAGCCGCGGUAAUACGGAGGAUGCGAGCGUUAUCCGGAUUUAUUGGGUUUAAAGGGUGCGUAGGCGGGCUUUUAAGUCAGCGGUAAAAAUUCGGGGCUCAACCCCGUCCGGCCGUUGAAACUGUGGGCCUUGAGUGGGCGAGAAGAAGGCGGAAUGCGUGGUGUAGCGGUGAAAUGCAUAGAUAUCACGCAGAACCCCGAUUGCGAAGGCAGCCUUCCGGCGCCCUACUGACGCUGAGGCACGAAAGUGCGGGGAUCGAACAGGAUUAGAUACCCGGGUAGUC